rnacentral:miRNA from 1 species
ACGUCAGUUCUGCCACUUUUUACC